AACGGUCUAUACCUGCGGUACCUGCGGAGGGAUCAUUACCGAGUGUGACCUCCUUGUAAAAAAGGGGGGACCUCCCGUCCUUUGCUGGCCCCUCUGGGGUUCUUUUUCUGCUUCGGCGGGGUUACCUGCCGGAACACCCUCAAAAAUCUCUUUUGUUAAAAACCGUUCCGUCCGAGCGCUUUUUAGAAAAAAAAAAUGAGCGAAAAACUUUCAACAACGGAUCUCUAGAUCGGAAGAGCA
rnacentral:misc_RNA from 1 species